AAAAAAAAGGGGAUGAAUCAAAUGUGGAAGAAAAACAAAUCCAGAUUAGACCAGAAUAAUCUGCUUUGAUCAGUAAUAAUUUCAAUAGUAUUUUAUUCAAAACAAUUACUAGUACCUUAUUGGAAUACCUAACUUUCAGUUAAUUUAAAAAAUACUUUUUAUUAAAGACGACAUAUGAGGUGCAGGUAACUUGUGGCCAAAUAUCACAAAGAAAUAAAAUAAAAAAGUCUACUUCAUGCUCUACAUUUAGUCAUCCAUUUAUGUGGUUAUCACAUUAGGUACCAAAUGCAAAAAAGACCACAAUAAAAAAAAAUGAAGAUAUGAGAGAAAAGUGAAGUAGAAAGUGAACAAUUAGCAUUUCUAAAUGAUUAUACGCUUUUUAUAAACUUUCUUCCUGACGUACAUUUACUGUACACUAUCCUGUUUAAGCAACAUUAGAAUACAGAGGAGAAUUUGCAACAACUAAACAAAAAGUCACUGUCCUGCUGUACAGGAAAAAGCUCAAGUUCCUGCUUUUAUUUAAAGCUUACAGCAGGAGGUGCCCUUUGUUUUGAUACAUUUGCACAUCACUGUUACCAAAAACCUUUAGUAUGAACUAUUGAUGGUGGAAGAAAAUAAAAAAAAGAUCUGUACGUACAUCAAGAUAAAACCUGAGAUUAGUUCUUUUGACCGCUUUGCAGAAGCAGAUGUGAAAUGAAGUGUCCCCAGCAGCAUGGUGGGUUUUGUAACCACUCACUGUCUAAACAAAACCUUGGCUUGAUUGGAUCAGGGACUAUUUUAGUAGGGCAGGUAAACAAAGGAUCCAGCUCCAGCAAACUUUAUGCAACCUCAACGUUCCCAUCUCACAUGAAUCUUUGAUGUGAAACAAUAACUGGGGCCCUGUGACUACAUAUGUGGACACUUGUACAACCAUGUAGUGGUGUCAGAAGAGUACAGCACAGAGACAGUUCAAAAUGGCAAAGAACAGAAAAGAAAAAACCCUCAGCUCCUCCAAACCCAUAGCUCUACAAGGUGUAGGUUCAUUCUAUGCCAGUCCCCACACUCCCCGACGUUCUCAUCAAACUCAGCAGAUUUAAGCCGACUUUUCCAACGACGGCCUUGAACGGCCAACAUCAGCACCAGGCCCUCAUGAACGAUCCAGUGAAGGUGAUUGUUAUUGUAGGACGUGGAAUGUGCUGGAGGGUACUCCAUUGACCCCAAACAUGGUGGAGUGUGACCAUGAGGACAAAACAGAGCACAAAAGAAAUACCUGGACCCUGCUAAAAUAUUCUGAACAAUAUAUUGAUAAAGAGUUGAUGAAGAUGAUUUCUGAUUGCUCCAAUGCCAUGUCACUGUGACCAGGAGUGGGGAACUACUCAACACAUCAGUAAAUGAGGUCUACAAUCGUUUUGGUGGCUCUUUUUUUGAUGCCCUGUUUCUGAUGAUCAAAAAUGAGGCUGCACUGGUCCAAAGCCCUGAGAUACACUGCCGUCACUGACAGAUUCGUGCAGGGCAAAUUCUCCAAACUUAGGAAAGAAAAUUGUUGUGUUCAGUGUGGAAAUAAAGAUUUUUAUCCUCCAUUACACAAUGGUAACUUCAUUGUAUUUUCUAGAAAUUUAGACCUGGUGUGCACACACAUGCACAACAUUUUUUCUCUAAAAGUACACAAUUUCAAUACUUAGUUUUUAUACUAAACAGGUUUCAAUAAGCCCAGACAACUAAGAGAAUUAAUAAAGGCAUAUCAAAUAAUAGCUCAGGACCAAGGAGAUUAAUAGCCUACCAUAAAAAUGUAUUAGCAAGCAUGUUUAAUCACAAUUAUACAAUGUUACAGUAGAAUCAUAAUACAGGUACAAAGUUAUCCACCUGUAGGGCAGCAAUGUUGACCAAAGUACAACAAAAAGAGAAAAAUCUAAAUCUAAAAACUAAAAAGCAAUUAGAAAUACUCCUUUAUCAUAAACAUGCCCAUUCCAGACUUGAUUUGUUGUUGUGUCUGACCAAAUCACAACACAACAACUACAUCCUUUCACAAUAAAGACUUGAUUGGAGUCAUUGAACAGAUCUGUUAUGAGUCCCUUUUGUUGAGGCUCCAACCACGAGUCUUAGCAACAACAGUUCA